rnacentral:rRNA from 1 species
UGCGUAGGUGGUUUGUUAAGUCUGCUGUGAAAGCCCUGGGCUCAACCUGGGAAUGGCGGUGGAUACUGACAAGCUAGAGUGCGGUAGAGGAGGGUGGAAUUCCCGGUGUAGCGGUGAAAUGCGUAGAGAUCGGGAGGAACAUCAGUGGCGAAGGCGGCCCUCUGGACCAGCACUGACGCUGAGGCACGAAAGCGUGGGGAGCAAACAGGAUUAGAUACCCUGGUAGUCCACGCCCUAAACGAUGCGAACUGGACGUUGGGCACAAUUCGGUGCUCAGUGUCGAAGCUAACGCGUUAAGUUCGCCGCCUGGGGAGUACGCUCGCAAGAGUGAA